AAGUGUUCAAUGAUGAUUUUUGUUUGUUUGCCUGAUUUCCUUUUGGAUAAUGAAGGCAUCUUUAGUCACUACCUCUUCUGAGACACUU
ensembl:snoRNA